GAAAUACUCCCUCCGUUCGGAAUUACUCGUCCAAAAAAGGAAUGUAUCUAGAUGUAUUUUAAUUGUAGAUACAUCCAUUUUUAUGACAAGUAAUUCCGAACGGAGGGAGUACAAA
rfam:Triticum aestivum genome assembly, contig: Triticum_aestivum_CS42_TGACv1_scaffold_321966_4BL